CAGAUGCUGCUGGUGGUGGUGGUGGUGGUGGUAGUGAUGGUGGUAUUCCCAUUCGUUUCACAGGGGAGACUCAGUUCACACAUGCUACACAGGACCCCGAUCAUGGAGCACCGGAAUCGCCGAGGAGAACGGUUGGACCGACGGACAACGAUACUCCACAGUACUCUUCUUCCUCCUAUAGCGAUUCCAGGCACUCUUUUCACUAUCCCAUACCUGACAUCAGCAUGGAGCCACAGACGAGAUGGGUGUACGAAUGGGAAGACCCCCAUUUUUACACUAUGUUAGUUCAGGAAUGGGAGACAACAUCGGCGUGGACAGGGCAAUCUUGGCAAGACUACAAGGCUGAACUGCUUAGAGUGCGAGGUUUGAAUGUGAUGUCCAUCGCCGAAUACCAAAUGGCGUCCAGAAUGGGGGUCUUCCCAUUCUUACGUUGAACUAUUAUUAAUGUGUAUCAGUGACUACUGUAUUUGUAGGCACGAUUAGGACUAUGGUAUUUGUAUGCACGCGCAUUAAUAUUGUAUAUCUCUGCAUAAUUAUAAAUUGUUACUUUGGUGUGGUAUUUUA